GCUGUAGCUCAGUGGAAGAGCGUCUACUUUGCGUGCAGAAGGUCCCAGGUUGAAACCCCAGCAUAUCCA